rnacentral:rRNA from 1 species
GUGGGGAAUAUUGGACAAUGGGGGGAACCCUGAUCCAGCCAUGCCGCGUGUGUGAAGAAGGCCUUUUGGUUGUAAAGCACUUUAAGCGAGGAGGAGGCUACCGAGAUUAAUACUCUUGGAUAGUGGACGUUACUCGCAGAAUAAGCACCGGCUAACUCUGUGCCAGCAGCCGCGGUAAUACAGAGGGUGCGAGCGUUAAUCGGAUUUACUGGGCGUAAAGCGUGCGUAGGCGGCUGAUUAAGUCGGAUGUGAAAUCCCUGAGCUUAACUUAGGAAUUGCAUUCGAUACUGGUCAGCUAGAGUAUGGGAGAGGAUGGUAGAAUUCCAGGUGUAGCGGUGAAAUGCGUAGAGAUCUGGAGGAAUACCGAUGGCGAAGGCAGCCAUCUGGCCUAAUACUGACGCUGAGGUACGAAAGCAUGGGGAGCAAACAGGAUUAGAUACCCUUGUAGUCC